rnacentral:rRNA from 1 species
UACGUAGGGGGCAAGCGUUAUCCGGAUUUACUGGGUGUAAAGGGAGCGUAGACGGACUGGCAAGUCUGAUGUGAAAGGCGGGGGCUCAACCCCUGGACUGCAUUGGAAACUGUUAGUCUUGAGUGCCGGAGAGGUAAGCGGAAUUCCUGGUGUAGCGGUGAAAUGCGUAGAUAUUAGGAGGAACACCAGUGGCGAAGGCGGCUUACUGGACGGUAACUGACGUUGAGGCUCGAAAGCGUGGGGAGCAAACAGG